CCUACGGGUGGCAGCAGUAGGGAAUAUUGCUCAAUGGGGGAAACCCUGAAGCAGCAACGCCGCGUGGAGGAUGAGGGUUUUCGGAUUGUAAACUCCUUUUGUUAGAGAAGAUAAUGACGGUAUGUAACGAAUAAGCACCGGCUAACUCCGUGCCAGCAGCCGCGGUAAUACGGAGGGUGCAAGCGUUACGCGGAAUCACUGGGCGUAAAGAGGGCGUAGGCGGGUUAGCAAGUCAGAUGUGAAAUCCUAUGGCUUAACCAUAGAACUGCAUUUGAAACUGUUAGUCUAGAGUAUGGGAGAGGUAGGUGGAAUUCUUGGUGUAGGGGUAAAAUCCGUAGAGAUCAAGAGGAAUACUCAUUGCGAAGGCGAUCUGCUAGAACAUAACUGACGCUGAUGCGCGAAAGUGUGGGGAGCAAACAGGAUUAGAUACCCCAGUAGUC
rnacentral:rRNA from 1 species